rnacentral:tRNA from 1 species
ACUUGGCUGGCUCAGUCAGAAGAGCGUGGGACUCUUGAUCUUGGCUUUGUGAGUUCGAGCCUCAUGUUGGGUG